ensembl:lncRNA
UUUUUUUUUUUUUUUUUUUUUGAGACGGAGUCUCACUCUCACCAAGGCUGGAGUGCAACGGUGCGAUCUAGGCUCACUGCAACUUCCACUUCCCGGGUUCAAGCGAUUCUCCUGCCUCAACCUCCUGGGUAGCUGGGUUUACAGGUGCCCACCACAAUGCCUGGCUAAUUUUUGUAUUUUUAGUAGAGACGGGGUUUUGCCAUGUUGGCCAGACUGGUGUCAAACUCCUGACCUCAGGUGAUCUGCCUGCCUUGGCCUCCCAAAGUGCUGGGAUUACAGGCGUGAGCCACUGCACCCAGCCUAUAUUUGUCUCCUGUCGCAUUCCUAUCUCUGAAUCUGUCUUUGUCCUGUUUCCUAUCUGCGUUUCUUUCUGUAUGUUUCUGUUCCAUCCCUGUCUCUCUCUCUGUCUCCAUCUUGUGUCUCUUCUCCUGUCUCUUCUUCCCUCCUUGUCUCUAUAUCUAUCCCUCUCCAUGCUUGUCUUCGCAUCUCUUCUUCCUUGUCCGUCUUCCCUUUUUCUGCCUUCUCCCUCUCACUCUGUCUCAUGUGUCUCCAUCCCCAUCUCUGUGUCUCUGUAUAUAUCUCUAUCCGUGUCUCCACCUCUGUCUCCCUCUUCCCUGACUCUGUCAGUCCUUCUUUUUUUUGCCUCCCUCUGUGUUCCCCUACCUAUCCAGACCCCAGCCUGUGGCCGCCGCUCCUCUCCGGCCUGCACCAGGGACUGUCCUGGCUUCUGCUGCCCCCUCUCGGCCACCCGCCUACCCUUCAUUCCUGCUCCUAGGCUGGCAGCUCUCAGCACAGACAUCCCACGUCUGGUGUGCGUUCCCAGCAGCCAGCCAGGAAAGAGGGCGACAUCAGGCAGGAAUCCUUCCUGGGCAGCCUCGGGCCCUGAGAACUCCCUGGAGCCUGUGAGCUCACCCGAGAAAGUUCAUUCUCACGUGGAGAGAACAGAAUCCCCGGCUCCAGUCCCACUCCUGCAUCCUGCACCUGCCUGUCUUCAGGUCCUGAGGCCCACAGCCCAGAGUGGCCGGACCCUGGGAAGGCAAUGCCUGCCUGGAGAUGGAGGGCUAAGGUCCUCGGGGCAGGAGUGAUUGGGAUGUAAUCUCUCCACCUUGCCUCUUCUCAGAGGAGGGGGAGAGGAAGGAGGUCUGAGGAAGGGCGUCGGAUGGAGCCAGUUUGGGGAGAGGCUGGAAGGGACCUGACAGUGCCACUCUGAUGGGGAAGCCAAUCUGAGGGUGAGUGGGUCUGAGAGGGCGCAUGCGACAGGGUGAGCCUGAGCCAGGGCUUGUCUGGGAACGCAUCAAAAGAGCUUUCGUUUGAAAGGCCCAGCCUGAGGGGUAGGCUGACCCAGGGGUGUCUGAAAGGGCCUGGUCUGAUGGGUCCAGUCUGAGGGGAGACCGAGCUGAAGGCACACGGAUCCGAAGACUAGAAUCGCCAACUAGUUCUAGUCUGCCUGAACUUUCCCAGUUUUAGCACUGAGUAUCUCAAGUCUCAGGAAACCCCUCAGUCCCAGGCAAACUGGGACGUCGAUCACCCUGUUUGAGAAGGCCUUGCCUGACAGCACCAGUCUGAGGGGGGAGGCUGGUCUGAAGGACGUCUGAGGUGGGAGGGUGGUCUGGAGGAUGUCUGAUGGGGGAGACUGGUGUGGAGGAUGUCUGAGGGGCCUGGUCUCACAGUUGCAGUUUGAGGGAAGAGCCUGCUCUAGGCCAGAAGGCAAGGAGGUAGAAGGGGUCCUUCCAGAGGGGCAGUGGCUUGGGGAAUGGCCACCAGGGGGCAGGACAGGUUCUCAGGAAAUUUAGAAGCAACCGACCCAGAGAAGGAGCCAGACUGUGGGGCUGUGUGCAAAGUAUGCCCGCAACAGCAUGUGUUACUGCGCCAUCACAUGCACAUGGCAGUGAUGGUAUGCAGCUGUGUACCAUGUUUGUUUUAGUGUGGCUAGGUGACCAGGGAUGCAUCUCUGCUACAUUCGUGUGUGAUGGCGUGUGCCUGGUGUGGCCAUGGCUGAGGCUUUACCUGCAGCUGUCAGGACAACAGCAGGAACACCUUGGGCAUUACCAGGACAAGGGGGCACUGGGAGAGAAGCACUCAGAGGAAGGUCUCUGGGAGGGGCUGAGGAUGGGGAGGAGAAACGGGAACCAGGCUUCCCUGCUGCACCUGCCCCGCCCACCAUUAGUAUCCCUGAGAUUCCAGACCCAAGAGCUAGGUGCUUUGUUUACAACAAAGGCAGCCCCUGCCUGGACCCUGCCUGCCCCACUGCUCCAGCCUCUCCCCUGCUUCUCCAGCUGGCACUCCUCCAGCUGGACUCCUCCUGUUCCCCAGUAAUUGUUCCCAUCCUCUCCUACAUCCACGCUUUGGUUCAUGCUGUGCUUGUGCCCAGAUGCCCUCCUGAGAAGCAUCUGAGUUCCCUCUAACUCUGUCUCCAUGAAAUGCUUCCUGCUCAUUCCCUCUCUUCCUUGGACUGAAACCCACUGUGUGCUGAGGCCUAAUUCUAUGGGCCCUUGUCUCAUCCCAGGAACUUGAAAGUGCUGGGGGCUGGAGAUGCCAGAGAGGGCAGUCCAAGGGGAGAGGUAUGGACAAAGCAAGGUGGGGACCUCUGAGUUAAUGAGACAAAGAAACACCAUCACAGAAUCCCCUGAAAUGAAAGAACUGAAUAUUCAGAUUGAAAGGGGCGUACUGUAUACCAGAAAAGUUGACACAGAAUAAUUGACAUGAAGACACAUUGAUUUGGCUGGGUGAGGUGGCUCACACCUGUAAUGCCACCACUUUGGGAGACUCAGGCAGGAGGAUCAGUUGAGCCCAGGAGUUUGAGGCCAGCCUGGGCAACAUAGUGAGACCCUUCCCUCUAAAAAAGAAAAAAGACACAUUGAUUUAGUUACCAAACUUUAGGGCUAAAGUAAGAAUACUUAAGGCACCUAGACAGAAGAAGCAAGUCAUUUAUUUACGAGGGGGAAUAUUCAGUCUGGUCUCAGACUUCUCCAAGGUAGCAUUUGACAAGUGAAGACAAUAUCUACAGAGUUCUGAGGGUUAAAAAGUGUCACCCUAAACCAUAACCAACAGAGUGGUUGAUCUCAAUCAUGAAUUUGGGGGAUGGUGUACUCAUGAGCCUUUCCAGAAAAGACUACUCAAUGACAAAACCCAGUCAGCCAAGAGAUUAGUCAAGUUCAGGAGCUGAAGAAGGGAGAUUCAUGGUAAAGAACUGGUGGUGACAUUAAUUCCAUUUGGGAAUUAACCUUAAUUCAAUUUAGGCUAAGAUUACACUGUGGGAAUUUUAGUUACAAAACAAUGUAAAUACAGUUGACCUUUGAACAACACGAGUUUGAACUGUGCAGGUCCACUUGUUCACAGAUUAAAUAAAAUCAGUAAAAGUUACACCA